rnacentral:rRNA from 1 species
UACGUAGGGUGCGAGCGUUAAUCGGAAUUACUGGGCGUAAAGCGUGCGCAGGCGGUUUUGUAAGUCAGAUGUGAAAUCCCCGGGCUUAACCUGGGAACUGCGUUUGAAACUACAAGGCUAGAGUAUGGGAGAGGGUAGUGGAAUUCCCGGUGUAGCGGUGAAAUGCGUAGAUAUCGGGAGGAACAUCAGUGGCGAAGGCGGCAUCCUGGACCGGUAUUGACGCUGAGGCGCGAAAGCCAGGGGAGCAAACGGG